rnacentral:rRNA from 1 species
AACGAACGCUGGCGGCAUGCCUAACACAUGCAAGUCGAACGAGACCUUCGGGUCUAGUGGCGCACGGGUGCGUAACGCGUGGGAACCUGCCCUUAGGUUCGGAAUAACUCCCCGAAAGGGGUGCUAAUGCCGGAUAAUGUCUUCGGACCAAAGAUUUAUCGCCUUUGGAUGGGCCCGCGUUGGAUUAGCUAGUUGGUAGGGUAAAAGCCUACCAAGGCGACGAUCCAUAGCUGGUCUGAGAGGAUGGUCAGCCACACUGGGACUGAGACACGGCCCAGACUCCUACGGGAGGCAGCAGUGGGGAAUAUUGGACAAUGGGCGAAAGCCUGAUCCAGCAAUGCCGCGUGAGUGAUGAAGGCCUUAGGGUUGUAAAGCUCUUUUACCCGGGAUGAUAAUGACAGUACCGGGAGAAUAAGCUCCGGCUAACUCCGUG